AAUGAUCCUUCGGGUGAUUUUGCUGGUGACUGAGCGGCGGACGGGUGAGUAACGCGUGGGUAACCUGCCUCAUACAGGGGGAUAACAGUUAGAAAUGACUGCUAAUACCGCAUAAGCGCACAGUACCACAUGGUACGGUGUGAAAAACUCCGGUGGUAUGAGAUGGACCCGCGUCUGAUUAGCUAGUUGGCGGGGUAACGGCCCACCAAGGCGACGAUCAGUAGCCGACCUGAGAGGGUGACCGGCCACAUUGGGACUGAGACACGGCCCAAACUCC
rnacentral:rRNA from 1 species